GUUGUUGUCCCAGGAGAUUUGACCCUGAAGGUUUUAUCCCAUCAGUCAACAGAGAGAGAUGUCAGUGAGAUUUUCCCAGCAGUGCCAAGGAUCGAAGCCAAAUGCCACGUGGUGCAGUGAAAACCUCAGGCAGAUCCUGUAAAUUCCCUGGCAGAUGCUUCACUGUGCAGAUAGCAUCAAAGAGGCAAUUUCAUCUGGACCACUCAUUUUCUGCAAACAGCUUCAGAGUCAACAAAUUGACAUUUGCUGGAGAGAAAAAAUGUUUCAUUGGAGAAUUUGUGACCCUUGCUACUUAACAGCCCCUGUGAAUUUACAGCUUCGGGUCACCUCUGAGCAGCUCCAACUUGGGUUAGGAAGCAGGUCGAUCCCUUGGUGCCGUCUGCCAGGGCAAGGAGGGAGCACUCAGCAACCCCCUGGCCGUGCCAGCCUCACCUGAUGCCAACGAGCGGUUUACCAGCGUGAGCAAAUUUCCAAGAAAUGGGCUGGAGGCAACAGUUUUCCGAAGAGCAUGCCUGGGAUGACUCAACCCUGCCUGCUCAAGUGAGCAGAGAGAGCAACACAAAAGCAUGGCCAGUGACUCACCGCUCCCUAGCCCACAUCUGGUUUCCUGUCUCUGUUUUACAAACGAAGCUCCUCUCUUACCUGCACCAUCACUCAGAUUUCACACCUUCCCUCCCUGCAGGGCACAGCACAAACCAGGUGAGGCAUGGGGUUCAGGGUGAAGCCGACAUCAGCAGUGAGAUCUAGAUCUGACUUGUCCACUCCUGGAGGGGCUUGGAAGACAAAUUUGCGGAGCAAGCCUGCGAAGAAGAGGAACAGCUCCAUUUUGGCCAGUCCUUCUCCAACACAAGCCCUUCGUCCUGAAAACAACCAGGAGAGAAGUAAAUGAUAAGCACCGUAACUGCUAGUGUUGACAUCUGAGACCUUCUAAACUGGGUGCACAGUCUGUAAGAGCAGGCUACUGAGGCAUCUCUCCAGGUUCGAUGACAUGGUUCAUUUCUUCCUGAAUCUUUCCUUGGAGGAAGGAAAGGAGUAAGAAGCUGAUAUUUCUCUUAUCUUGCAACUAGAAUAGUCUUCAGUUUGGCCAAGAUGAAGAAAAGGGAAAACUUUGAGGGGCAUUUAGGAAGAGCAAAAAGUGGGGCAGGAAGGUUUGGGAUGAUCUCCUUGCGUGUGCUGUGUGGCAACUUACUUCACCACGUGGGACAAUCCUGACAAUUGGAUCCCCUUAACCAGCAGUUUCAGCAGAGCAAUGAAGCGAGUACAGUACUGCUCACUGAUGAGAUCUGAGGAUUUUCAGAGAGCUUGCUGUAGACCUAUGAGUAAAACAGUGUUGUCCUUGGUUAUCUUGUGAACACCUGCAAGUUUGUGUCUGCAAAUGACCUCCUGGUUUUACUGGCCUCGUCAUGGUAAGCUGCCUGCUCGCCCCUUGCCUGUAAGGAGGCAUAAAAUAAUGUAGUGCUGUCCGUGUGCUUUGUGCUGGGCUACCCUCACUCAGGUCAUUAACUGUGAGGAUUAAUGAGGGAUCAGCAGGUCCAUUGCUGCUGGGGGGCUGAUGGAUAAGCUCACUGCAAUGGGGCAGGGAUGGCUCUUCUGAAAUUCUGCUGAACCGAAGAAAAGUUUACAUGGCCUCAGCCCAGUGCACGGAUCCCCAGGCUCUGGGCUCACCCCACCAGCAACAGGGGGUCCUGAAAAGUGAAUUUUGCAUGGCCGUGGUGUGUGAGGCACGUCCCACCUGGGGCCCUGUCUCAGCCAGGCCUGGCCAAGGCGGCUCAUAGGCAGGAGCAGGGGUACCGGUUCUCCCAUAAACAUGUUUGUCGAUGCUGGUCUCAGAGGUUUGUUCUUUUUCCAUUUGUUUACAAAUGAACAAAUGUAUUUUAAA